rnacentral:rRNA from 1 species
CUACGGGAGGCAGCAGUGAGGAAUAUUGGACAAUGGUCGAAAGACUGAUCUAGCCAUGCCGCGUGCAGGAUGAAUGCCCUAUGGGUUGUAAACUGCUUUUAUACGGGAAGAACACCACCCACGUGUGGGUGACUGACGGUACCGUAAGAAUAAGGACCGGCUAACUCCGGGCCAGCAGCCGCGGUAAUACGGAGGGUCCAAGCGUUAUCCGGAAUCAUUGGGUUUAAAGGGUCCGUAGGCGGGCUAUUAAGUCAGAGGUGAAAGUUUGCAGCUCAACUGUAAAAUUGCCUUUGAUACUGGUAGUCUUGAGUUAUAGUGAAGUGGUUAGAAUAUGUGGUGUAGCGGUGAAAUGCAUAGAUAUCACAUAGAAUACCAAUUGCGAAGGCAGAUCACUAACUAUAUACUGACGCUGAUGGACGAAAACGUGGGGAGCGAACGGGAUUAGAUACCCCGGUAGUC